rnacentral:rRNA from 1 species
AUUGAACGCUGGCGGCAUGCCUUACACAUGCAAGUCGAACGGCAGCACGGGCUUCGGUCUGGUGGCGAGUGGCGAACGGGUGAGUAAUAUAUCGGAACGUGCCCAGUCGUGGGGGAUAACGCAGCGAAAGCGGUGCUAAUACCGCAUACGAUCGAGGGAUGAAAGCAGGGGACCGCAAGGCCUUGCGCGAACGGAGCGGCCGAUGGCAGAUUAGGUAGUUGGUGGGAUAAAAGCUUACCAAGCCGACGAUCUGUAGCUGGUCUGAGAGGACGACCAGCCACACUGGGACUGAGACACGGCCCAGACUCCUACGGGAGGCAGCAGUGGGGAAUUUUGGACAAUGGGCGAAAGCCUGAUCCAGCCAUGCCGCGUGCAGGAUGAAGGCCUUCGGGUUGUAAACUGCUUUUGUACGGGACGAAAAGACUCUUUCUAAUAAAGAGGGUCCAUGACGGUACCGUAAGAAUAAGCACCGGCUAACUACGUGCCAGCAGCCGCCGUAAGAC